GAUGAACGCUAGCUACAGGCUUAACACAUGCAAGUCGCGGGGCAGCAUGGGGGUUGCUUGCAAUCCCCGAUGGCGACCGGCGCACGGGUGAGUAACGCGUAUCCAACCUGCCCUUCACCACGGGAUAACCCGGCGAAAGUCGGACUAAUACCGUAUGUUGUCCAUUGACGGCACCCGAUUUGGACGAAAGGCUUGGCGGUGAGGGAUGGGGAUGCGUCCGAUUAGCCAGACGGCGGGGUAACGGCCCACCGUGGCUACGAUCGGUAGGGGUUCUGAGAGGAAGGUCCCCCACACUGGAACUGAGACACGGUCCAGACUCCUACGGGAGGCAGCAGUGAGGAAUAUUGGUCAAUGGGCGUAAGCCUGAACCAGCCAAGUAGCGUGCAGGAUGACGGCCCUAUGGGUUGUAAACUGCUUUUAUGCGGGGAUAAAGUGGCCCACGCGUGGGCUUUUGCAGGUACCGCAUGAAUAAGGACCGGCUAAUUCCGUG
rnacentral:rRNA from 1 species